rnacentral:lncRNA from 1 species
GGGAAAGGAUUAUAGUGGUGGAUGUAAGGGACAAGCCUACCAGGUUUUGGGAGGUGGAGCCACCUUGUGGGUUGGAAGUGGUGGCUGUGCAUGUUUUGCCUAGGAUGAUUAGUAGACAACACUAGUUAAUGUCACAAAUCAAGCACCAUAAUAUAUUGGUUGUAUUUUCAUGUUAGAAAUAAUAUAUAUAUAUAAUAUAAUAUAACAUGAAUCAGUUGAAAUUUUAACAUGCCAAAGUCACAUGAACGUGCAAAUAACUAAAUCCAUGAUUGAAUGCUCAUCUCACAAUCGCUUAAAUACCCUUUAUAUAUUUAUAUAUGCAUAUGCAUAUGCUGGUUUACAUGUAUACUCAGCCUUAGCAUUUCACUUCGAUAUCCAAGUUACCGGUUGUAUCUCGACACGACUAUACGAGUAAAACUAAUUAAAUUGACAAAACGAGCUAGAAACAGACUUGCAUAGCACAUUGGGGUGACAUGCACUUCUCCACUCAUAGCUAAAUUUAUAGUUUAGGUCACUCCAUUUACCUUCGAUUUUUAUGUUGACUAUAAAAUUUAAAUUUUAUGAAAUUAAUUAUUAAAUUCUUAUUACUUAUGCUGAUUUGUGGAUGGUAAUUAUGAAUGCCCCCAUAGCUUCCUUUUUCCUUCUUUAGUUGUGUAAGAAUUUAUUACAAAUUUCCAAGUAUAUGAAGAAAAAUGGUCUCACCUUUGCAUUUCGUCAAAACCUUUUUAAUUUUAAUAAUAAAGUGAAAGAAGGGCUGUUCAGCUAUAAGUACUAGCUUGUUUGAUGACCUGAUCAUAUCCACUUUUACUAAACUGUUGGAUCACUCCAUAUACGUAGUUAAUUUACAACCUUUUUUAAUAAAAAAUGAAUAUAUAGAUAUGGAGGAUAAGAGUGAGUAUUCAAUGGAAUAUAAAAUAAAAAGAUUUCGAGUUAAUCGAGUUUUAUUUUAUCAUUCUAAUUUGAUUUAAUUUUUUUUAAUCGAGUCGAGUGAAAUGUAAUUCGAGUUGAGCUAAAUCGAAUAAAAUUAUUAGAGUUAAAUUAAAAUUGUAAAAGAUGUCAAAUUAAAAUCUUGUUACAAUAUAACUAAUUCCAUGUUAAAGCAUAUAAAUUUAAAACCAUAUAUAUUUGAAAGCUCUUUGAAAUCAAAAUAAGAGAAAAAAAUACUUAUUAGUCUGAUAAACUUGAAUCAUUAAUUUAGUUUUUUAGCUCCAAAAAUUAAAAUUUUAGAUUUUUUAAAAAAAUUAACUUUAAAAAAUAUUCUUUUGGAUUUUUUUAGUUUUUUGUUUUAAUUUUUAGAAUUUUUUUAAAAAUAUAUAAAAUUUGUAAUUUUUAUAAAUAUUUUGAAUUUUAAAAAUUAGUUUGAAUUUUUGAAAAUUAUUUUGAAUUAUUUUGUAAUUUUUGUUGAGAGAGAAUAAUUUGUUCAUUUUUAAAAUUGUCAUAGACCAAAUGAGUGUUUACACCAAUCUGUUAUUUGAGUUAUUUGAAUUGUGAAAUUCAACUCGAACUCGAAACUUGAAUUACUUAUUCAAGUUAACUAAAAAAACAAAUAACUCAAUUCGAUUAACUUAAAAUUCGAAAAAAAAUAAUUUUUUCUAAUUGAAUCGAGUUUUGCUAACAUCAAAUGAGAGUUAAGUUUUUUUAAAAAAAAAUUAUUUCUUAUUUUUAAAAUGACUCUACGAACUCAUAAAUUUUUAAAUUCCGAUUUUUUUAGCCUACAACCUGAUAAAAGGAACAAUUAGAUAGUUACGAAAGGCACUAUUUUAAUUAGUUUCUAUAAAGCUUCAAAAACUUUUAUGAAAAGAAAGAAAAAGAAAACAUAGAAUAUAAUUUCACCGGACAUUUUGUUCUUUCCAUUUGUUUGAUUCUCCUAAUUCUACCAAACCCACCAAUGCACUUCAUAUAAUUUUGAGCCAUAGUUAAGUUGACGCCCACUUUAACUAAGAAUUUAGAAUUAGUAAUUUUGAUCCUUAAGUGAAUAGUCGUGGAAAUGCUAUAAAAUAUAUAGCAAACAAGCAAAAAAACCUAUUGCAAUAAAAAAAAGUUCAAUUUUAACUAACAUAUAUAUUAGCUAUCAUAUACACUAAAAAUAUUAUACUAAAGAACAAACUAAAAAUGCAUAAACUAAAAUGAGAAAAAAAAAUGGGGUGGAACUAAUAUUACAUAGAACCCAAUUUAUUGAUACAGUGCUCAACAAUAGGGGAGUAUAGAAGAGAAGAGAACGGUUUCUAAGAAGGUCGGUUUACUUAGUUGGGCAGAGAGCUAAAGGUUAUAGAGAAUGAAAGUGGAGAGAGUUUGAAGGCUGAGUGUAGAAAGAGUGUAGGCUAACUAUAUUCCCAGAGUCUAUCCCUUUUUCAUCGUUCUUGGGGCAUUUAUAGGCAAGGAUCCCAUGUAAUAUGGUGUUAGCGUGUUGGACUUGCCAUCUAGCCAUCAUUACGGAGUGUGUGGGUGGGAUGUCUUUGAUAGGAUGAUGAUAUCUGUGACAGGAGAAAUUUUGUUGUUGUUCUAACUUUGGUGGGAUAAAACAAUUGAUCCCACAUGAUGUUUGGUGACCAAAUGACUUCAUGUUCCUAAAAAAGAUCAAGCCAUCCGUUAUUCGAAUAGUCCUUUCGGUAGGGUGAGUUCAUAGGUGACCUCAUAGCUUGUUGAUGGAAAGCUUACUAUUCAGAUGUCUUUUAGGCUUGCCAUGUGUCUUAUCACGAAUGGGGAUAUAACAAUAUUCCCUCAUUUUGAGUCGAGAGAAGGGUUACAAAAGUGGCCUUCCUUGAGAUGCUCUGUUCUGAUAACUUUCUCUUUUCCGAGUUAUUCCAGGUAGGGGUUUAUUCUAUGGUGAAACAUUAUAUCCAAAUGUUUGAGAUUCCAUCAGAAGUUUAUUUUGAGGAUUGCAUUUCUAGGGAGUUUUGAUAAUGAUGAACAACAUCCUUUUGGAACAAGUGGUAAGUUGCUAUUGGAUGCCACUUAUUUUUCGAAACUAUGUGUUUUGAGGGAUAGGUCUAUAUAUUCUCUGGGUGUUCUUCAAGAUUACUUUGCCUCCUUUUAUUUUUGAAAUUUUUGUGACUUUUUUUUAUAGAUUUACUAGUCUUUAUUGAUUUUUGGAACAAUUUAUGCAUUUUUUGGAAUUCUUUCAUUUCAAUUUGCUUCAUAAUUUUUUUUCUAAUGUUAUCAAAGUUACUUUGACAUUUUUGUUAAAAAUUUACUAAUAAAUGGCUAGGGGAAAUGAGCAAUCUGGUAAAACUCAAGGUUAAUGUGGUGAUGUUUUAGUCGUGUUCUAUCGAGAAUAAAAAAACAACCACAACAAAAUCUAACAAAGUUACUGUCACGAGAUCCGAAAGGGGAUGAUGAGCAUGUUUUUAGUCUCAACUAUUAGUCUCCCAUGACUCAUUAGGAGAUGAAAAUUUUGCUACUAUGUCGUGGUUUGCUCGCUAAACAUCAUAAAUAUGAGUUUAGCAUCCUAAAAGGGUUGCAUAAUCUAAGUGAAGUCUUCAAUCCAGUUUCUACUGGUGGAAGGCCUGAGUUCUACCUCCCGUUAUUUCAUCUGGAAGCGAGUUUUACCUUUCCCAUCCCAGAUUUUAUUUGAGAUGUUCUGUACAAAUUCCACAUGGCACCAGGUUAGCUGAUGGGUUUUUCUUAGUGGUUAUUUAUUGGUUUUUUCAUCAUAGAUUAUAAGAAAGGAAUAUAUCUUUCUGAUCGGUUGUUUUGAUAUAUGUUUUUCUUGUUGGAGUUAAAUGAAGACCAGUUUCUCGAGUUGUUCGAAUUCAGUUCUCAAACAGACCCUGAAUGAUAAACUUACUUUGUGGCGGGAAAGUUACCAUGCUAGUUGAUUAUAAUAAGUUUAUCCUCAUAGAGUUAAAUUUCGGAAAAAGAUUUGGUUUUCCUAUUGAAUGGUUGCGUCUUUCCACUGGGAUUUGCUAUUAUCAUUCACACUUAUAGGAUAUUCUUAAUGGUUCUCAUCAUUUCAAAAUGAUGAACCAAGAAGAUCCUCCUUGAUAUCACUUUGAGGAGUGUUUUCAAGUACUGUCUUGAGGAUAGGGGUGUCAGUGGUUACACAACCAAAUAUAUAGUAGAUAGUUUUAAAAAUGACAGCAUUGUGCCUCUAGCUUCUUAUGCUUUUCCUUUUCAUAUAAUGUUUGUGUUAGUCAAACGUCUUCAAUGUGUGACUAGAAUCUAUAUGCUAUAUUACUAAGUUGUGCCACCUUCCUGAUUGCGUGUGGGAGGUGCCACCAAACAGCAACCCAAUUAUUCCUCAACUCCAAGAUGAUCACCACAUAGUUGCCUUAGAGCCUCUUUCUUCAAGUGAUGGUGAGUCUAGUAAUAACCAUUCGAAUGGUCAUUUUAUUGAUAGGAUCAUCUGCUCUUUUAAAAUUAACCCUUGUAUCGGCUACAUAAUGCAAACGAUGUCCCUUUUUCACGUGUCAAAUGGCCAAAGAAAAUCGAUGAUGAAUCUGGGAGGAAGUGAACAAAAGAAGAUUUUUCCUAAAGGGUGACUUUUGCGAAGCUUGCUAAGGCAGUGAUUUAUGACCUUACUAGCCCUGACCAUGCCUCUCACUAUUUGGUUACUUCGAGUAAACAGUUGUGUCUUGCUCAUGGAGUUCUCCCUUAGGUUGCUGCUAGUAAAUCUUCAGCGUCGAUUCCAGUUCAAAGUCUAAUGGUUGUUAGUGCACAAUCGAAGAGCCAAAGUCCUCAUUUAGAAGGCCCUUUCUAAGCUUCCUCGAGCCACACACCUACGAGAGGUGUAUCUUAGAGUGAGAAAGAGACGUGACGGAAAGAGAAAGAGGAGUAUGUGGUGUGGGUCCAUGAGCAAGAUAGAAAGAUUUGUCAGCUGGGGGCACAACUUAACAUUGUCACUGAAAGGUUGGAGAGGUGAACUCAAUCCUUGAACGAGGAGAGAGUUUUUCGAAAGAAAUAAAUGGGGAAACAGGUGGAAAUUAAAAAAGUAAUAGAUACAGUGGAAAUAGUUAUCCUUGUUAUUGUUGUGCACGAGGUGCUCGUUGCUAUGCAAUUGGCUUCCAGUCCAUUAAGCCUUGUUGCAUUAAAUUUUCAACCUUUCUUUUGACAUGCUCUAUGAUGGUCAUAACCAUGGUUUCGAUGUAUACUGCCUUACAGACCUGAAUAGGAGAAAUUUCAUAAUUAUUUUAGUAGGUGAGUAUACUACGGGGGUGUUCUCACUGUAAUCCUUUUCUACUCUCUGAAGAUGUUGUAGCCCAAGCAUAACCAUUCGAGAAAGCUACUACGAAUGGUGUUAUCAGUAACCGUACUUCCAAUUCUUUCGAUUACGAUGAUGAUGACGUUGAUCCCAACACCUCUCGUAAUAAGGGGAAAGGGCUUGCAAGUUCAAAUGCUCUCACAAUAAGGGGAAGGAUCCUCAAGUAAGAUAGACUUCUGUAAAAAAAAUUUUGUAUAGUUUGCUUGUAAUUCCUUCCUUUGUAUAUCAUGUUGUUUUUGAUGAAAUAUAUACAAAAUUUCCAAUAUUUGUAUUUUUUCCUUUAUCCUUUCGUUUCAUAAAACCUGUUGGUGUCAUGAUAUUAUAUUGAUUGACAAAUGACAUUUGGAAGUUGUCAUUUAUUUCUAAAUGGCCUUCCGUUUUAUGAAGUAGUGGGUAUAUAAUUUCUUUUACUUGGGGUAAUUUUAACUGUUAACAAAUAACAUCAACUAUGUUUAAGAGCAUUUAAUUCGAGGCCCAAUAGUGACACUUAGGAAAAUGACACCAAUGAUGGCAUCUUACCUAGAAUUUUAUGUUCGGUCACAUGCUACUUUUGUAUUGGAUGGUGUCAGGACAUCACUUAUUUCAUCGAAACACACUGUUUUGUUGGGAAGGUCUAUAAAAACCUUUUUAUUCUUUUUCAUUUGUUUAUUUCUUAUGUUGUUCCUCUAUUGGUUUGCUUUCAUCAGUCUUUUGCUCAAAUCCUCUUGAUUUUACACUGUUUCUCUUCUUGUUCAUUCAAUUUUUCUUCCUAGAGUAAGAAAUUUUCUUUCCUUACAUUCAUUUUUUUUACAAUGUCUUUUUCUAGAACUCAGUCCAAUUUGUCAGAAGUUUUUGAAUCUUUAAUGAAAAAAUUUUCGAUUGAAGGCGUUGGUGGUGAUAAGGUAGAGAAUCCUCUUCGAAUGACAUGGAUGGUUGCUCACAGUAAACAUUUUUGGUAUACCAUUACAGGGCUGUUACAAGACAAGGGACUCUACCAUAAGAUAACUAUGUACAAAUAUCUCGAGAGUAGAGGAAGAACAAUCUUAACAAGAGUUUCCAAAAUUCUUUGUGGUUCCUGCUCCCUUUGCAUGCUUUGCAUCCUUUUGCAUGAGAUGUGUUAAACUUUUAUAAGAUAACCCUCAAGAAAUUAUCUGAUACUUUUUGGUUGUUGUUGACUAGCUUCAUCAUCUUGUGUCAAUAGAAGGGAAUACAUCUAAAGCUUAGAGUGUUUCAGAAUUUGUUCCAACUAUCUAAGGGAACUAAAAGAAACAACUAGGGUUACUAUAGUUUUAUUAUUUGCAGGGUCACCCUUAAGCAAAAAAUAUCUCAUAUGGGAAAGCAAGAAACAUAGGAAUUGAUCGUUGCAAAUAUGUUGCUAUCCAACUAAAAUUCGGGGACGAUUUGGGCUUUCCCAUCGAAUGGCUUCUACCUCCUAGAGUUAUCUGCAACUUCAAACCCUCUCUAACCAAUGAUCCAAAGGCUCAAAUACAAUUUACGAUCAUUAAUUUGGAGGGUUUGCUUAUUGCUCCUUAGGAAAUCUCCCUCUGAAAGGUCUUCAAAUAUUGUCUUUUUGAUUAAUGAGGUUUCAUCUACACUAAAGAAGAUCUCGCUAAAAUAUUUAAUCUAGAAGAACAUUGGAGAAUUCGAGUUGAAUCCUUUCCCUUUAAUAGUGAUUGUCAUAUAGCUUGAAUGCUAAUAGGAAGAGCACUUGAGCCUUAGACCCAUCUUGUAGCUAUAAGAGUUCACCUUGACCAGAAGUGGCCUAUUCUUGAGUUAGUAGAAGUGGAUCCUUUGAACUUCCCCAGGUAGAGGUCCUUAUGGCACCAUUUGACAUUAGACUAACCAAUUCUUAAAGAAGGCCACCUAUGUUUUUCCUCCAGCUCGAUUAACGAGGAAAUGUCACCGUAAGAUAAAAUCUUAUUUUCAAUUUUUAUUAAGUUACUAGUUCAUAUCUGACGUUCUUUGUUUAUGUAAGAUUAAUCAUAGAUAGCAAAAUAGUUCAACAGGAGGUUGAAGUUGUUGCCAAAAACAUGCUGAAAAGGGUAAUUGCAUUUCUUCUUGUCUCAAGGAAAUAGGUCAGCAAGAAAAGGUAAAGAGUUCCCUCUGAAGAAGUUAUGGGUGAAGAGCAACAGUGGGAGGUCAUUCUUUACUAUAUUGAAGAUCUUACUACUGGGGCUGAUCUUCAAGGUGAUGGUGAUAAUAACAACCUGACCCAUCCGUUAACCAUUAAUGCUAGUUUGGCCAUCAUUUCUUCUACUAGAAAGGCUUUAUCUCUUAUUGUUGUUGCUAUUGGAAACCUUUCUACUGCUUAAGGGUUCUUAUUAUUCCUCUUUUUCUUCUCCACCUUCUCCUCCUACCACUAUGCUUCCAUCUGUUAUGUCUAAUGCUUCAGAUAAUUUUAUGAGCUUUGCUAAUUUAGUUGAGUUGUGUUUAUGUUGUUAACAUUAAAUUCUAAUGCAGGGUCUAUGGAUCUGUUGGUGAUUUUGAACUUAGUGCAUGAUUGAUGGCUCAAGAAAUUUUAACCCUUUAGACAAUAGAUGCCAAAGCGAAAGAUGUUGCCAAAUCCUUAAAAGAGGAAAAGAGAAAAUUUAUUGUUGAAGCCAAAAAGGCAACCUCUAAAUCAAAAGAGAAAAUGCAGAACUUAACUGAGGAAAUGCAGAUUCUAAAAAUAUUAGCUAGAGGAGGAGAAGAAAAUGAGCCUUCAGUUAGGAGAGAGUGUUUAGGAACUGGAGGAUAAAAACACACAACUGAAGCUUGACUUAGAUAAGGAAAAGGAGUCUUGUGCCAUGGAUAAGGCUUUUGUUGCUUUGGCCCAAAGGAAGGUGUUAGAUCCCCUCAAGGAUUGACUAGUAUUGGCAUUUUAGGUUGUUUAUGGCCUAUUCGACUUCCAUCGCGUGAACAUAGCUCCUCUUUUGGAAGAAGAUUUUGAAGUGAUGAAAUUUGACCUGCACAAUCCAUACCCCGAAGGAUAAGGAUUGGUAGGAGUUUUGAGAUAGGCUUUUGGUUCCUUUGACUACUCUUAAGAAGGUCUUGACCCAUCCUCAGUGUAAUGAUUGUAAUGUUAAGCUUGAGAGUUUUGUAAAUGUUAUGGAUUAAUAAAAUUUUUCUUCAUCAUUUAUUUAUUUUACUUUGUCAUUUUUAUUUAAUUGGCCAUACUUUUUUUAUUUCAAGUAAAUUGAAUGGAACUUAUCCUUCCACUAUUUGAACCAUUCCUUGCUAAUAAAACUUGCAAAGCUACUAACUUUGAAAAAAGGAUGUGCCGCAUCUUUUCAAAUUGUAUCAGAUGCCUUAAAUUAUUUGAAAGGGUUUAGAUGGUUGGGAAAAUGAGCAACCAACUACAAAGUCAGUUAGAUCCUGUACUUUAACAACUUUUCAUGGUAAAUACUUUAACCCAAACUCACUUAACUCAACACUCCACUUGAUCAUUCUUCUAGAAAUGCCAACUUUUCCUAGGAUGUCUUUGAGAGGCUGGUCCAAUAAUACCGUGAUAUGGUGAGCUUGAAAUUUGGGGCAAAGCUUCAUUGUAGCCACAAUCAAGGCAAAAUAAUUUUCUCCACCCGAAAGUAGUUUAAUUCUCCUUCUUGCAAGACUCCGCUAACGUAAUAGACCAAGUAAUAUUGCCUUCAACUUAUUUGACCAACAUUGCUAUAACUAUUUUGUCGAAGGAGGUGAGGUAGACAUAUAAAAAAAUCUCCAGCUUUUUUUUCAUAAUUGACCCAAAUAAAUUUAUUAUUUAAGAAAAUGACUCAAGUGCAAAAUCUUGUAAGAAAAUAACAUGUUUUCUACAGUGUAUGUUGGUGCCGACCAUCUCAUUGUUGGCACCAAAUUCCAUCAUCCCCUAACGAUUGCUCGAUGAUUACGUAGUCUAUAAAAAAUGGUUUUUUUUGUGCCGAUACUGUGUUCACUAGCACUAAUAUGUAUUUUUUUUCAAAGUCACUUAAAAAAUAUGGGUAUUUCAAGAUUAGAAAAAAGAAAAAAAUAUUUUAAUAGGUGUCAGCAUUCUCGUCGCUGGCAUCGAUUAGAAUUUAAAAAAAAAAUUAAGUUUUUACUUUUUUUGGUGUCGGCAUUCUCUUUGCCAACAUAAGUGUGAUUUUUGAUUUUUUUUUUACUGACGUGCUUUGGUUGCAGGGAUCAAUGAAAAGAUGAGAGGAAGCUAAAGAAUUGAAGACAGUCUUUUAAUUCAAUUGUGGCGCAUCGAUAAAUUGUAUGGAUAAUGUUAAAAAAAUGAUAAUAGUAAUUGUGAUGCAUCAAUUAAAUCGAAUGAGUAAUUACAAUAAAAAUUAAUUAAUGCAAAAUUGUGGUGCAUCAAUUAAAUUGCAUGAGUAAUUACAAUAAAAUGAUAAUAAUAAUUGUGGUGAAUUAAUUAAAUUGCAUGGAUAAUUACAAUAAAAAUUAAUUAAUGAAAAUUCUUUUAAUUGAUGCAAAAUUAUGGUGCAAAAUCUUGUACGUUUAUUUAAUUGAUGCAAUAUUGCAUUAAUGUACUAUGUUUUUUUUAAACUCUUCAAUUCCUUGUAUUGAAAAAAAUGUUGUUCAUGCAAUUUACCUUGCCUUCUCUUUUUGUUUUUUGAUUUUUCCUUAACUUCCUCUCUUCACUAUUCCUUUCACAAGUCCCGGCAACCAGAGCACGCCAGAAUUUUUUUUUCAAAAAUCAAAUCGAAGCCGACAAAGAGACCGAUGACAACAAUAAAGCAAAAAAUCAAUAUAUAUUUUUUAAAAUUUGAACUGGUGUACCGGCACCAAAAAAAGUAAAAAAUUAAUUUUUUAAAUUUGAAUCGGUGUCAACAAUGAAAAUUCCGGCACUUAUUAAAAUAUUAUUUUCUUUUUUUUAAUCUCGGAAUGUGUAUUUGAAAAAAAUACAUACCGGUGCUGGCGAACACAAUGUCAACAUUAAAAAAAAAUCAUAUUCUUUAUAUCGGGCAAUCAUUAGGGGGUAAUGAAUGGUGGUACCGAUGAUGAGAUGGCUGACACUAACAUACACGGUAGAAAAUAGGUCAUUUUCAUAAAUAAUCAAUUUUUUUUCCAAAUACUACUGACUCUUUUUUAUCCAUUGAAAAAUACCUUUCAAAGAACAACAAGCAUCUGUCAGCCAUGUUCGAUACAAAUUCAUUUAGUGUCACUAUUUGUUCAGUCAACUCCUGAAUCUUUUUAGGCUUUUAAAAAGAGUUCAUUUACAAGAUAGCCUUGACAUUCUCCAGGUUGGCUUUAAUACCUCUACUAUAUAUCAUGAAACCUAAAAAUUUUCCAGUGCUUGCCUCGAAUGUGUAUUUUGCUCUGAUUGAGCUACAUACUGUAUUUUCGUAACACUAUAAACACCUCUCAAAGGUCAUUUAUAUGUUGCUAUUUAGAAGCACUUUUGGCCAACAUGUCAUCAACAUACAUUUCCAUACAUCUCUCUAUCUGAUUUUGAAACAACUUAUUCACCAACCAUUGAUAUGUAGGCCUUUAAUCUAGAAACUGAGAGGCAUCAUCUUGUAAUUAAACAACCAAUCUUCAGUAAUGAAAGUCAUCUUCUCUUGAUCCUCCCUUGUCAUAAGUAUCUGGUUAUAGCCUGAAAAGGCAUCCAUGAAGCUCAUAUGUUGAUGGUUUACGGAGGCAUUUACUAAUUAUCUAUAGAUGAGAGCGAGAAGUUGUCUUUUGGACAUGCUUUAUUUAGGUUGGUGAAGUUCACUUACAUUUGCCAACUAUUGCCGGACUUGGGUACCAGGACUUCAUUGGAAAUCUUAUCCAAAUAGGUGACAUUUCAAAUGAAACUGGCAACUAGGAGCUUUUUCACGUCUUCUCUAGUAGUCGUGGCCUUUCAUUGAAAAAUUCUUUUUUUUUUGCUUCAUUGAUUGAGCACUAUCCACCCUUAUAAAGUGUUAAAUGAAUGACGGAUGUAUUACUAGGAUAUUUGUUGUCAUUUAGGCGAAAACAUCCUUACACUCUAAAAACAAUGACUUCAAGCUUUCUUCCUCAAGGGAAAGGGUUGAUGCUAUUUGGGUGAACUUUUAAGGCCCCCCUUGGUAUAACUAGACCAACUUUGACUCUUUUGUUUAUUGUGGUUUCGAGAAUUGGGUCUCUGGUCUAGUUUCAAUACUUUCUAGAUCGAUCCCUAUCUUUCCAAUUACAUCGACCCCGAUAAAAAUGUGGUAGUGUAAUGCGCAACAAGCUAGAGGUGAUGGCAAAGGGUUCUGAUCUUUCCUAACAAGUUGUAGGAAGACUAUAUGACAUUCUUGUGUUUUCCUCUAGUUGAAUUUCAUGUAUCCCUCAACUGUGGGAGUGGGGAAAUUUUCCAUCAUACAGAAGGUGACAACCACCAUAUUCAUCAUCCUCAUAAUUAACUUCUCGAAAAUGGUAUUGUAUGCCAUCAGUUAGUCAACCACGGGAAAUCCAUCAUCUCUCAAUACCAUUGGGAGGAAAUGGACCCUUUGACCACAAUGGGUUGGUUAGCAAAGCCGUAAAUUGGGCUUGCAAGUUUGAGUUGUGUAUCAUUGAGCCACAUUUGGUAGAAAUCCUUGGUUGUUAGUAUAUCCACCAAGUUGCUUGUAUCUACCAAGAUCUUUCUAACUUGGAAGGUCGAGAUAUUAGCCGACACUACCAUAGGGUCUUCACCAUCCGCAUCUAGGAUAUCUUCUUUAUCUCGCUUUAAGAAUCAAAGGUUCCAUGGAGAAGGUUUAGGUUUUUUUACUGUGGCUAAAAUUGAUAGAACACUUUCUAUAAGAGCCUUUCACUUUGAAUUCGAUGAAACCCACUCUACAUACUUGCCUCCUACUUGAAAAUCAAUAAUUCCCUUGAAUGGUUGCUUCCCUCUAUUAUCGCCUUGCAAUCUUGAUGGCCUUGUUUCUUUAUCUUGAGCCCUAUUUAACUGGUUGGGGGUCUUGAACUAAGAAUUGGUCUUUCCAAAUUGUUAUUUUAGUACCAAUUUUUAGAUGUUUGCAUUGUUUAGUUUGGUAGCCUUUGCAGUUAUGAUUGGAGUUAUUGUAGUGCUUACUAGGUAGGAGGUAUGGGACCAAUUCCAUGAUUCCUUGGUUUUCUACUUGAUCAAACACUUGGGUCGGGGAGCAGUUAAGCUCAUGGUAGGUUUUAGAAUAGUUGUAUGGGGCUCUAAGUCAUUGGUCUUAGCCUUCUCUAUGAUUGUGGAUAGGUCCUUUGUGGUCUAUGGCAUAAACAUUGUUCACCUGUUGAUUACUUCUCUAGUUUGACUAAUUAUAAUGUUCAUGUCCACAUACACCUACCAUUGGACUAAUCAUUGGCUGUUGGUAGCCUUGAAAUCUCUUAGAAGACAAUCUUCGAGGAUGGUUGCUCUAGCGGGAUACUGGUGCAAAGAAAUCAAUACGAACCUUCAGAACCUCAUCUCCUUCCAAAAACUAGUACACCAUUUCGUAGAGUUAGGAGAGUUCAGUUGUAGUGUUUUCGAUGAUUAUGUAUUUGAGAUGCUCGUGUGAGGUCUCGGCGAUGAAGGCUUAGAUUACCCACUCAUUAGUGACUCCCUCUUUUACCUCUUGAAGGCUUAGAUUGCACAAUAAUUUUGGGAACUUGAAGGAAUUAGAGAUGUGGUUUUCUAGAUAUCUAGGUGCCAUUGGUUCAUUAAAGUAGUUCUAGAAAGAUUUGUCUGGUCUUUCUUCUUUUACCUUUUGCAUUAUCUCUGCUCUGAAAGCCUUGAGUUAUUCUUCCAUGGAGAUAUUGUUGUUGCCUUAAGAACAUUGGGAUGCUACUGGGAUAUUAGUGCUAUGACUAUAAAGGCCUUCCAAAUUAUCAUGCUCAUUACCCCCUAGAUCAUAGAUUGAGCUUCCUGCUCUUAAUGCUUCGGGUUUUCUCAUAUUGGGACUCUUCGUGCUCUCAACUCUAUGAAGAGCUGCUUAUUCUGAGGGUUCCUUCAAGGGUAUGCUAAUACUCUCGGUGCUCCUUGAAGCAGUGUUCAUACUGAGAAAACUAUUAUUCCAAGUGUUGUAGUUUCUCUUAGGUCUUUAAGUUGUGUGGCUAGAGGCCUGAUGUCUAUUGAUAGGAAUCCUAGUCUAAUGAAAUAGAGGUUACUGCUGGUGGAGAGGGUGUGGUUAUGACAUAGGUUACAACUUCUUGUAAGCAAUGUGAUAUAUGAUCAAAAGGUCUAAGAGAAGUUACACUAGGCUAUGACUAAAGCGUGUUAAUUAUCGGGGGGAUGAGAGUAGUUGGAGGAACUAUUCCUACCGGUGUAACAGAAGUGGUAGAUUUGGAGGCUAGAGGGUCUUUAGGGCCUUUACCAGUUGUUCCAAGGUGGGAAGAAGAACGCUUGCAUAUUGCAACUGGGUUCUAGCAGAAAUGGAGCCAAGUGGAAGGGCUUGUGUAGAGCCCAAGCUAGUAGAAACACCUGGGAUAAGUGGUAUGGAUAUGUUAAGUGAAAAGGAAGAGUUGACUUGGUCAAUUGAGUCGUUGAUCUAGUUGGCUUAAUCAGUUAGAGUACCAUUUUAGGAUUGAGAUGCAAUGUCAUCUAUGUUCAUCGAACAAUUGUUGGUACAAUGCUCAACAAGGAGAGAAUAUAGAAGGGAAGAGAAUGGUUGUUGAGAAGGCUAGUUCAUCCAAUCAAGGUAGAGAGUCGAAGGUUAUAAAGAAUGGAGGUGGAGAGUUUGAAAGUUAAGUGUAGAGAGAGUGUAGGUUUAGUAUCCUCUUAGAGUAGAUCUUUUCUUCAUCGUUCUUGAGGGUAUUUAUAAGCUAGGGUCCUAUGUCAUAUAGUGUUAACAUGUUGGACUUGCCAUCUAGUCAUUAUUACAAAGUGUGUGGGAGGGAUGUCUUCAAUGGGAUGAGGAUGCUUGUGGCAACCUUACUAGGUGAGUUCAGAUAGUCUCCCUAGGAAGGUGAGUUCACAGGUGACCUCACGGCUUUCUGAUGGCAAGCUUACUAUUCAGGUGUCUUUUAAACUUACCAUAUGUUUUAUCGCGGAUGGGGGUAUAACAUAAAUGUUUCAAGACCUUAUAUCAUUAUGAUAUAGCUUCUUUUUUUUCCCUUUUUGGAUCUUAAAUUUGGUUUCCAAAGUAUAGAAAACUUGCAAUCAAGUCACUAAUAUUCAAAUUUGCCAUCAAGUAUAAACACAUGAAUCAUAUCAAACUAAAUUUUGAUAAAAAAAAUGGAUAUGUAAUCUAUUAGCUCAGUUAACAUAAUUGUUAUUGUAACAGUAAAAAGGACAUGAAAUCAACUACAUUUAAGUGUGAUUUUUAACAAUUUGAGUGAUUUAUAUAUAAAAAUAAGCAUUAUAUAAAAAAAUUAAAAAUUAAAUUCUAACAAUAAAUUAAAGCGGAUCAAGUUUAUAUAAUUGGAUAAUAACCUGAUUCUUAGUGUGGUGUAUUCCUUCCCCCAUCCCAUGCGUUUGAAGAUUCGACGUGGAAAUGAUGAGUCCUCUUUAGAUAUGCCAAGAGAAAGAAUAAAUAAAUAAAGGGGUCAAUAUUAUAUAGAGAAAAGAAAGAGAUAAAUCAAAGGGAGGCUUCACAUGAUGAAAAGCUAAAAAAUUGAAGAUUCAAAGACAAAUGGAUACAAAAAGGUUUCCAUC